GUGCAGUCGACGGAGCACCCCUGACGGAGUUUUCGGACAACGAAAGGGAAUGCUUAGUGGCGGACGGGUGAGUAACGCGUGAGUAACCUGCCUUGGAGUGGGGAAUAGCAGCCGGAAACGGCUGCUAAUACCGCAUGAUGUAUCUGGAUCGCAUGGUUCUGGAUACCAAAGAUUUAUUGCUCUGAGAUGGACUCGCGUCUGAUUAGCUAGUUGGUGAGGUAACGGCUCACCAAGGCGACGAUCAGUAGCCGGACUGAGAGGUUGGCCGGCCACAUUGGGACUGAGACACGGCCCAGACUCCUACGGGAGGCAGCAGUGGGGAAUAUUGGGCAAUGGGCGAAAGCCUGACCCAGCAACGCCGCGUGAAGGAAGAAGGCCCUCGGGUUGUAAACUUCUUUUGUCAGGGACGAAGCAAGUGACGGUACCUGACGAAUAAGCCACGGCUAACUACGUGCCAGCAGCCGCGGUAAUACGUAGGUGGCAAGCGUUAUCCGGAUUUACUGGGUGUAAAGGGCGUGUAGGCGGGAGUGCAAGUCAGAUGUGAAAACUAUGGGCUCAACCCAUAGCCUGCAUUUGAAACUGUACUUCUUGAGUGAUGGAGAGGCAGGCGGAAUUCCCUGUGUAGCGGUGAAAUGCGUAGAUAUAGGGAGGAACACCAGUGGCGANNNCGGCCUGCUGGACAUUAACUGACGCUGNNNCGCGAAAGCGUGGGGAGCAAACAGGAUUAGAUACCCUGGUAGUCCACGCCGUAAACGAUGGAUACUAGGUGUGGGGGGUCUGACCCCCUCCGUGCCGCAGUUAACACAAUAAGUAUCCCACCUGGGGAGUACGAUCGCAAGGUUGAAACUCAAAGGAAUUGACGGGGGCCCGCACAAGCGGUGGAGUAUGUGGUUUAAUUCGAAGCAACGCGAAGAACCUUACCAGGACUUGACAUCCUACUAACGAAGCAGAGAUGCAUAAGGUGCCCUUCGGGGAAAGUAGAGACAGGUGGUGCAUGGUUGUCGUCAGCUCGUGUCGUGAGAUGUUGGGUUAAGUCCCGCAACGAGCGCAACCCUUAUUGUUAGUUGCUACGCAAGAGCACUCUAGCGAGACUGCCGUUGACAAAACGGAGGAAGGUGGGGACGACGUCAAAUCAUCAUGCCCCUUAUGUCCUGGGCCACACACGUACUACAAUGGCGGUCAACAGAGGGAAGCAAAGCCGCGAGGUGGAGCAAAUCCCUAAAAGCCGUCCCAGUUCGGAUUGCAGGCUGAAACUCGCCUGUAUGAAGUCGGAAUCGCUAGUAAUCGCGGAUCAGCAUGCCGCGGUGAAUACGUUCCCGGGCCUUGUACACACCGCCCGUCACACCAUGAGAGUCGGGAACACCCGAAGUCCGUAGCCUAACAGCAAUGGGGCGCGGCCGAAGGA
rnacentral:rRNA from 1 species